rfam:Brachypodium distachyon strain Bd21 chromosome 5, whole genome shotgun sequence.
AAAAUACUCCCUCCGUCGCAUAAUUCUUGUCUAAAAUUUGCCCAAAAAUGGAUGUAUCUAUUUCUAAAAAAUGUUAGAUACAUGUAAUAUUUCGAUAAAAAUUAUGUGACGGAGGGAGUACUAA